AUGGAUGGAGGAACUUCAUGGGGGCACGGAUGGUUUCAAAUACAGUCACAUCCAAUCCCUCCAAGAUGUAUUUUGUCCUGGCAUCAUAUUUCCUGGCAUUUGCCUAGUGUGGCCUGGAUAAGCAAGGGUUACAUGUUGAACCAAAUUCAGCUGAGACCUCUGGGUGUUACUGACCCAACCUCUACACUUUGGUCGGCUGUUUUCGCAGGGGUAAAAUCUAGAGCUGCUAAGAUAGACGAAACCAUGACCAUGACAAGCACGUGGACCAGGCCACAAUUGUACAAAGGGGACAUUGAUGCUAAGGAUGUAAGUGACUUGCUGAGAGCAGGGCAAAAACCCAGAGCCUUCCUGGUCAUUUCACUGCCUCCCUAUGGCAGAGUGGCACGUCUUGGAGCCAAGGCUUCAAAGUUCCAAAAAGGUGUGGGAGUUGUCAGGGGCAAAUGUGAUCUUUUCCUGGGCUGGCAGUGAAUCUAACCUUUCUUGUCAACACCCUGUUGCAACCCCCCCCCCCCCCCCAUUGUCCUCCUGUUUAUUCCCUAUCCCUCUGUCUAUUGUUUCCUCUCUCCUUCACUCAUCAUCUCAUGUUGAGGCACACGAGACCGGGAGAUAGGCUUUUAUGGGCAUGAGCACAAAUCUGAGCUCCUGGGAAGCCCUUGGGUGAGCCAUGGAGGUCCCCCAGCAUCCCUCAGAGGCUGUUGAUGGCCACGGCUGGGAGCAGGCUGGAGCCUCAGUGCACCCCAUCUAGCAUGAUGGGUGGCUUUAUAGAGGAGCCGGAGACAGGUUCAAGCCAUUGACAUGUCUUUAGUUCAUCUAACAUGACCAGAUAUUUAGGCUAAAAUGCACCCAAUUCUGUAUAGUCUUGUCACCUUUUAGUCCAGUCUUAGCUCUUUGCUUGACCUUUGGGAUUGUGCAUCCAGUAGCUCCCCCAGCCUGUAUCCCUCCUUCACGAUCUCCUGGCAAUAGUCCGGGAGUGGAUGCCUGGCCCCAGCUGGACCAAGAAGGGUCUUCCAAGGUCAUUUGGACUUGGGCUCAUUUUAGGAUCUGUCUCUCUCCAGCUGGGCAAUGGAGUAUCAGUAUCAUUUUUGGGAACUCUUAGAGACCUUGCCUAGAGAGUCAACAAAAGAAAAAAGAAGGAAACUGAUAUGAGGAGGCAAAUAGAGUUGAGAAGUGGUCCGAGUGCGUUCGGUUCCUUUGCUCCUGAGGCCCAGCUGCUGACCCCUGCCCUGAGUGCGACCUUGCCAUGUGACUUUCCCUACAUUCUCAACUGAGACCCAAGGAAUUUCCUCUUCUGCUCUGGCUCUAACUGGUUAGCUUUCACUGCAAGCACAAAGGGCUUAAGUACACAGCUCUCUCGAUCGAUCAUGUCAUUCAUUCCUGGGUGUAAGUGCCCGUUCGGGGAUAGUUUUUGGUUUUGUUUGUUUGUUUGUUUUGUUUUUUUUCUGUUGUCUUUUUAGGGCCUCACCCACGG
rnacentral:lncRNA from 1 species